rnacentral:rRNA from 1 species
AACGAACGUUGGCGGCAGGCUUAACACAUGCAAGUCGAACGGUUGUAGCAGUACAGCAGUGGCGCACGGGUGAGUAACACGUGGAUAUCUGCCUUUUGGUUCGGAAUAACCCUGGGAAACUAGGGCUAAUACCGGAUGGUUCCUACGGGAUAAAGAUUUAUCGCCAAAAGAUGAGUCCGCGUACGAUUAGCUAGUUGGUGAGGUAAUGGCUCACCAAGGCGACGAUCGUUAGCUGGUCUGAGAGGACGAUCAGCCACACUGGGACUGAGACACGGCCCAGACUCCUACGGGAGGCAGCAGUGGGGAAUAUUGGACAAUGGGGGCAACCCUGAUCCAGCCAUGCCGCGUGAGUGAUGAAGGCCUUCGGGUUGUAAAGCUCUUUUGGCGGGGACGAUGAUGACGGUACCCGCAGAAUAAGCCCCGGCUAACUUCGUGCCAGCCGCCGCAGUAAAAC